CAGCAGCAAUUUUUGCCCCAUUACCAAUUCGAAGAGUAAUCUCACCUUCUCUUAGUCUUUUAAUUUUCUCUAGACCCUGCAUAGAAGUGCACAAAUAAGCACUUGAACCAAAAUCUAAAAUCCAACUAAAACAAGAGGAAAUUAUUAGAUUAGUUUCAAUAAUAAGCAAUUCAGAUGUACCUUUAGAAGAUGCAUCCUUCUUCUUAUUUUUCACUAUGGCC
rnacentral:lncRNA from 1 species